GAGAAGCUUGCUUCUCUGAUGUUAGCGGCGGACGGGUGAGUAACACGUGGAUAACCUACCUAUAAGACUGGGAUAACUUCGGGAAACCGGAGCUAAUACCGGAUAAUAUUUUGAACCGCAUGGUUCAAAAGUGAAAGACGGUCUUGCUGUCACUUAUAGAUGGAUCCGCGCUGCAUUAGCUAGUUGGUAAGGUAACGGCUUACCAAGGCAACGAUGCAUAGCCGACCUGAGAGGGUGAUCGGCCACACUGGAACUGAGACACGGUCCAGACUCCUACGGGAGGCAGCAGUAGGGAAUCUUCCGCAAUGGGCGAAAGCCUGACGGAGCAACGCCGCGUGAGUGAUGAAGGUCUUCGGAUCGUAAAACUCUGUUAUUAGGGAAGAACAUAUGUGUAAGUAACUGUGCACAUCUUGACGGUACCUAAUCAGAAAGCCACGGCUAACUACGUGCCAGCAGCCGCGGUAAUACGUAGGUGGCAAGCGUUAUCCGGAAUUAUUGGGCGUAAAGCGCGCGUAGGCGGUUUUUUAAGUCUGAUGUGAAAGCCCAC
rnacentral:rRNA from 1 species